GACGAACGCUGGCGGCGUGCCUAAUACAUGCAAGUAGAACGCAGUUGCGAACGGGUGAGUAACGCGUAGGUAACUGCCUCAUAGCGGGGGAUAACUAUUGGAAACGAUAGCUAAUACCGCAUACUGUGAGAUGGACCUGCGUUGUAUUAGCUAGUUGGUGAGGUAAAGGCGCACCAAGGCGACGAUACAUAGCCGACCUGAGCGGGUGAGCGGCCACAUCGGGACUGAGACACGGCCCAGACUCCGUAGGGAGGCAGCAGUAGGGAAACUUCGGAAAUGGACGGAAGGCUGACCGAGCACAGCCGCGGGAGUGAAGAAGGGUUUCGGAUCGUAAAGCUCCGUUGUUUGAGAAGCGGUAACUACCCAGAAAGGGACGGCUAACUACGUGCCAGCAGCCGCGGUAAUUC
rnacentral:rRNA from 1 species